GAAGCUUCCUGAAACUUACCGUUCCUUUGAUUUCACUGGGCGGAGGGGGUCCGGAGUUUAGGCUCCGACCACGUCCUCCCCUAGCCAGCCUCAGUGGCUUUUUAAUGUUUAUAGUUUGCUGUCUGUUUUUUUUUUUUUUUUCCUUUUCUUUCUAUCUAGUUUUUUCUCCCUAGUG